ensembl:lncRNA
UUUAUACGUGCUCUUGUUUAUACUUGUUUUUUUUAAUACAUGUACAUAUUUACAUGUUCACUUGUUUAUAUGUGCACGUGUUUAUACAUAGCCUAGCAACCAGUGAAUGCACAGGUUAAUACUAUUUUUAAUUUAUGUUGUGAUAUUUUAUUAUAAAAAUAAUCAUCCACUCACUUUUUGUAUAAUUAAAACGAAGAGAAAUCAUUUAUAUAUAUUUAAAAAAAAAAAAAGUUUUUGAAAAAAUGGAUAAUGUAAUUGAACAGAACAAUACUAACAUUUUAACUAGGGAUGUAAAAAAUGCUGUAAUAAAUAAAAAAAACAUUAAUAAGAAUUUCCAUUUAUCCUUAGAUAAAUAUUCUAAAUGUAUCAAUGAAACACGAACUGGUAUUAAAUCAUCAGGUGAACAUGUUUUAAGUAUUUUUAGUUUCGCUUUAAAAUAUAUGAAAGAAAAAGAUUUAAAAAAAUGGAUUAAACUUAAUAUAAAGGUCCCAAUUUGUGACGCCCGUGUACUCCGUAGACAACGACAAGCGUAUAUAUAUUUUAAAACAUAUGAAGAAAUGAAAAAAUUUAAAAAAUUAAUCGAAAAUAAACGUUUCUAUCAAAAUGAUAGUUUAUCAAAUAUUGAAAUUGACAAAUCUUUCAAAUACAUACAAGAAAGGAAACAGAGUAAACAUAGCCAAUUGAAAGAAUUAAUAAAUAAUACUAAAGUCGAACAUAUUGAAGGUAAUAAUGCUACUAACAAUGAUGAAGGUAAUAAUGCUACUAACAAUAACAGUAGUGAAAAACAUACUAUUAUAUACGAAAAUAAGAAAAGAAAACGGGAACCCUUAAAUGGUCGUCUUACCCAUAAACAAACAAAAACAAAUCAUGAAACAUUACCAGACUUUAAAACUAUCAUAGAAAUUAAUAAAAAAGAAAAAAAAAAAACUAUUGAAAAUUAUGUAACUCCACUUUAUAAAUAUAAUUAUGCUGAUCAAAUUAAAAUAAAGAACACAUUUUUAGAAAAAUGCAAAAAUAAAAUUUUAAGUAAUUUAAAAGAAAAAUAUCAAAAACAAAAUUUACUUUUUAGCAAUGAAAUAUCAGGUGAUAUUUUUUCCAAUUCGAAUACAACAAAUAACAACAGCUCAAAUAAAAAAGAUACUUCUUUACGUUCCUCUAAUAAUAACAAUAUUACACUUACUGCUGUUAAUAACGAUAGUACUAAUCUCAGUAAUGACAACGAAAGUAAUAUAAAACAAGAAAACAACAACGAAAGCCUUUUGGAUAAACAAAUAAAACAAUACGAAUUAAAACUUGAUGCACCUUUAUAUCCUGACGAGCAACAUGUUUCUGGAUAUCGAAAUAAAUGCGAAUUUACUAUUGCCUAUGAUGAAAAUAAUAAUAUGGAAAUAGGUUUUGUUGUAGGUAAACUUAAAAAUAAUGUAAACGAAACUAGCGAUUAUACUAAUUGCAAUUUUAGCGAAAAUAACAUAAGUAACAAUCCUUCCCCUAUAAAUGAAUCACAUCAAACUAUACUUAGGAAUAAAAAACUACAACAGGCAUAUUACCUAAAUCCUAUUGUUGAAAAAGUUGAUACUUGUAUUCAUAUCCAUCCAUGUAUGAAACAAGCUAUAAACAAAAUAAAAGAUAUAAUUAAAAGUUCACCUUAUCCAGUGUUUGAUAGAGUCUAUAAAACAGGUACUAUACAUAUACAUAUAUACAUACAUAUAUAUAUAUAUAUAUAUAUAUAUUUAUAUGUGUAUGUUCGCUUGUUAACUAGUUACGUAUGUUCGCUUGUUAACUAGUUACGUAUGUUCCCUUUUUAACUAGUUACGUAUGUU